rnacentral:piRNA from 1 species
UGAUUUCCCAAACCUUGGGCUUGGUACCA